rnacentral:rRNA from 1 species
GACGAACGCUGGCGGCGUGCCUAAUACAUGCAAGUAGGACGCAGUUGCGAACGGGUGAGUAACGCGUAGGUAACUACCUAUUAGAGGGGGAUAACUAUUGGAAACGAUAGCUAAUACCGCAUACUAGUAGAUCGACCUGCGGUGUAUUAGCUAGUAGGUAGGGUAAUGGCCUACCUAGGCAACGAUACAUAGCCGACCUGAGAGGGUGAUCUGCCACACUGGGACUGAGACAAGGCCCAGACUCCUACCGGAGGCCGGAGUAGGGAAACUUCGGCAAUGGGGGGAAACCUGACCGGGCAACGGCGCGUGAGUGAAGAAAGUUUUCGGGUCGUAAAGCUCUGUUGUUAAGGAAGCGGUACUUAACCAGAAAGGGACGGCUAACUACGUGCCAGCCGCCGCGGUAAUAC